GGAUAUGAGGGCAAUCUGGCUGCGACAUAUGUCACCCCAUUGAUCACCAGGGUUGAUUUGGCUGAUCUGGCUGGCUAGGCGGGUAUCCCCUCCCUCCCUCACCGCUCCAUGUAUGUCCCUCCCGAAGCUGCAUGCUCGGUAAAAGAGAACAACCAUCCCUGAUAGAGGACCGGUCUUUGGUCAAGAGUAUAUGAGAAAAGGGGCUGGGAAGGUGGCUCAGUGGUAGAGCGCUUGCCUUACAUGCUCAAGGCCCUGGGUUCGAUUCCUUAGUACCAUAUAAGCAAAAAGAAAAAAGCCGGAAGUGGCGCUAUGGCUCAAAU
rnacentral:sRNA from 1 species